CCACUCUCCUUGAUCUAAGCUGAGAGAACUUGUUAAUUUCCAUUGGUCGUGGCUCAGAAGGCUAUGCCAACAUUCCAUUAAACCACAGAACAAAACAGAUAAAAUUACAUUUAGCGCCACACCAUUUUACAUGGACCUACCCAAUUUCUGACCUGAGAAAUUGUCUCUUGAAAUUAUAACUCAGUUCCUGCUACAUGGAGAAUUGUAGAUAGAAUAUUAAUCCACAUUCUACUGAUCGUUAGUUGAUUGGAAGGAAUCCUAAUGGGAUAGAGAUUAAAAUCUCACUACUGUCCUGCAAUCAAAUCAGUCCAUUCCAAAUCAGUCAAGUUUAAUAGACAUUGCUUAGUGCAGUAAAAU